UUCACUUUGAGAGAACCUAGAUGCUUAUUGUAAAGAAGCUUGGAGUCAUAAUAUAUUUAAACGUUAUAUGUUUGCUGUUCUUCAUCUUUUUAAAUAUGAAGUCUAUUCAUGUUUGUGUUUACAGAGGUCAUGUACACUGUGGUCAACUUUGUGGACGAUGAAGAGGUUUCUGGGUAAAGAUGAUAGAAAUAUAACGAAGUAACAGUGGAAGCUAAAACAUCAGACUGAUCUAGACACUGAAGAAAUUGAUGUCACUGCAAUCUGGCCAAAAUGAUACAACUAUAUUGAAGUAGCCUACUGUAAUGAAGCUGCAGAACAACACAGAGACUCUGAGGAAAUCAACACAGAAAAUGAAGGCUCCAAAGAGAUGUCUGUCCAGAUGAGGGUGCAUCAACUUUACCUUUGCUGACAACAGUUAACUUAACUCAAACCAUUUAAGGAAAUCGGUUGCCUUAAACCAUUAAGUUUUAAAAAACAUACAUUUGAGUACUGUGAACUUAAGUCUUGUGCAAUUAUGCACUUAUAUUUAGGUAGUGUGAACUUAAAUAUAAGUGCAUAACUGCAUGUGACUCAAUUUUUUUAAGUUCACAGUACUCAAAUCUAUGUGUUUUAAAACUUGAAUGGUUUAAUGCAACCGGUUUUCUUAAAUGUGAGAAAUGACAGUGUUACAGUGAGAAAUGUUUGAUUAAUUCCAAGACAGAGCUCUGCUAUUGAAUCUACACUGCAAAAAAUCACUUUCUAACUUAGGGUUUUUAUCUUGUUUUCAGUAGAAAAACUAAAAAUUCUUAAAUCAAGAUGUAUUUUCUUGAUGAGCAAAAUUACCUUAGAAAAUAUGUGUAGUUUUUAGACAAAAAUAUACAAUUUAAGUAAAUUUGUGCCUAAACAAGCAAAAAUAUCUUAACAGUGGAGUGAGAAAAUUGUGCUUAAAUUAAGUUUUUAUGAAAAAAGAAAAUGUAAGAUUUUUUUUCUCACACCAUUGGCAGAUAUUUUUGCUUGUUUUAAGCACAAAUUCACUUAAAGUGUGUGUGUGUGUUUAUUUAUUUUGUCUAAAACUAGACUUAUUUUCUUAGGUCAUUUUGUUCAUCAAGAAAAAGCAUUUUAAUUUAAAUAAUAUUUCUACUAAAAACAAGACAAUAAUACUAUGUAAGAGUCAUUUUUUGCAGUGUAGGACUGAUUUCUUAAAGCAAGAUCAAUAUAGUUGUUGUUCAUUUUAUUUAGAUAUUUACUACAUUACAGUGGCAGCUGGUGACUUGUUUUUUGUGAGCACUUGAUGCGAAGUUUGUCACAACAUGUAUACAGCCCGUCAUUUGUGUGGUUCCCAAUUUCAAAAUAUGUGUUCUGCGU